CAGUAGCCACGGGAAUACGGAGGGUGCAAGCGUUAAUCGGAAUUACUGGGCGUAAAGCGCACGCAGGCGGUCUGACAAGUCAGAUGUGAAAUCCCCGGGCUUAACCUGGGAACUGCAUUUGAAACUGUCAGGCUGGAGUCUUGUAGAGGGGGGUGGAAUUCCAGGUGUAGCGGUGAAAUGCGUAGAGAUCUGGAGGAAUACCGGUGGCGAAGGCGGCCCCCUGGACAAAGACUGACGCUCAGGUGCGAAAGCGUGGGGAGCAAACAGGAUUAGAGACCCGAGUAGUCCCUGUCUCUUAUAC
rnacentral:rRNA from 1 species